GCAAGUCGAGCGAACAGAAGGGAGCUUGCUCCCGGAUGUUAGCGGCGGACGGGUGAGUAACACGUGGGUAACCUGCCUGUAAGACUGGGAUAACUCCGGGAAACCGGAGCUAAUACCGGAUAGUUCCUUGAACCGCAUGGUUCAAGGAUGAAAGACGGUUUCGGCUGUCACUUACAGAUGGACCCGCGGCGCAUUAGCUAGUUGGUGGGGUAAUGGCUCACCAAGGCGACGAUGCGUAGCCGACCUGAGAGGGUGAUCGGCCACACUGGGACUGAGACACGGCCCAGACUCCUACGGGAGGCAGCAGUAGGGAAUCUUCCGCAAUGGACGAAAGUCUGACGGAGCAACGCCGCGUGAGUGAUGAAGGUUUUCGGAUCGUAAAGCUCUGUUGUUAGGGAAGAACAAGUGCGAGAGUAACUGCUCGCACCUUGACGGUACCUAACCAGAAAGCCACGGCUAACUACGUGCCAGCAGCCGCGGUAAUACGUAGGUGGCAAGCGUUGUCCGGAAUUAUUGGGCGUAAAGGGCUCGCAGGCGGUUUCUUAAGUCUGAUGUGAAAGCCCCCGGCUCAACCGGGGAGGGUCAUUGGAAACUGGGAAACUUGAGUGCAGAAGAGGAGAGUGGAAUUCCACGUGUAGCGGUGAAAUGCGUAGAGAUGUGGAGGAACACCAGUGGCGAAGGCGACUCUCUGGUCUGUAACUGACGCUGAGGAGCGAAAGCGUGGGGAGCGAACAGGAUUAGAUACCCUGGUAGUCCACGCCGUAAACGAUGAGUGCUAAGUGUUAGGGGGUUUCCGCCCCUUAGUGCUGCAGCUAACGCAUUAAGCACUCCGCCUGGGGAGUACGGUCGCAAGACUGAAACUCAAAGGAAUUGACGGGGGCCCGCACAAGCGGUGGAGCAUGUGGUUUAAUUCGAAGCAACGCGAAGAACCUUACCAGGUCUUGACAUCCUCUGACAACCCUAGAGAUAGGGCUUUCCCUUCGGGGACAGAGUGACAGGUGGUGCAUGGUUGUCUUCACCUCUUGUCGGGAAAUGUUGGGUUAAGUCCCGCAACGAGCGCAACCCUUGAUCUUAGUUGCCAGCAUUUAGUUUGGGCACUCUAAGGGGACUGCCGGUGACAAACCGGAGGAAAGGUGGGAU
rnacentral:rRNA from 1 species